rnacentral:rRNA from 1 species
CGGUGAAUUCGUUCCCGGACCUUGCACACACCGCCCGUCAAGCCAUGGAAGCUGGGUGUACCUAAAGUCGGUAACCGUAAGGAGCCCGCCCUAGGGUAAAAACUAGUGACUGGGGCU